rnacentral:lncRNA from 10 species
AGGAGGUGAGGGAAUUGAUCAUGUUGGUAUCUGGGAGAAAACUGUUUCAGGCAGAGGGAACAGCCAGUGUAAGGGCACUGAGGUGGGAAGAGCUAAGAACCCAUUGUGGUGGAGAAGCAUGAGUGAGCCAAGAGUAAUGAAAGGUGAAAGCACAGGGUCACCGUAAGCCAGGUUGGGUAGGGCCCCAUAGGUCAUUGUAGACUUUAGCUUUUGUUCUUAGUGAACUGGGAAGCCAUGGCAGGUUUUGAAUAAGGAUUGGCAGGUCUGGUUGAAGAUGGACUCCAGAGGAACAAGAGUGCAGGCAGGGAGACCAGUGUGUGGAGGCUCUUCCAAUAGCCCAGGCAGGAGAGGAUGGUGGCCUAGCCAGGGUGGUAGCAGUGGAGGUGGGCUAGGAAGAGGCUUCUGGCUGUAACUAAAAGGUGGAUUCACCAAGCUCCUGUUGAUACGUUGGGUGUGGGGUGUGAGGGAAUGAGGGGGGUUAAGGAAGACUCUGAAGGGUUUUUGGUUUGAACAACGAGGAGGAGUUGUCUUAACUGAGACGGGAAAUACCGUGGAAAGAGCAGGUUUGGAGAUGGCAGGAAAAUCAGGACUCCAGCUUGGGACAUGCAAAGUUCGAGGUAUCUUUUAGGUGUCCAGGAGGACAUGUUAACUAGGCCAUUGGAUACUCAUUUAGGAGUAUCUCGGAUUCAGGAGAGAGGAUGGUUUGGAGAUAAAAAUUUGGGAGUUGAGAGCAUGUGGAUGAUAUUUCAAACCAUGAGGUGGGCAAGGUCACAGCGGGAGUGAGUAUAGAAGGGACAAGAAGACCAAAGACAGAGCCCUUCCUUGGGCCAGAUGGAAGAGGAGGAACCAGCAGAGGAGGCUGAGAAGGAGCAGCCAAGUGUGGAGGAGAACUGGGAAUGUCCUAGAAGUUAACAGAAGAUAGUGUGUCCCCAAGGAGGAAGUGGUCCCUUGCAUCAGGUGGUAUUUGAGGUAGUUACUCCCAUUGUACCCCCAAACUCUGUGAGUAUUUCUGUCUGCAACCCUUGGGGACUGUUUCAGACCCCAUGAAGAAGCAGCAUUGAGGCCAGGUGCAGUGGCCUACGCCUGUCAUCCCAGUGCUUUGGGAGUCCAAGGUGGGAGGAUUGCUUGAGGCCAGGAGUUCGAGACAAGCCUGGAUAACAUAGCAAGACCCCAUCUCUAUACAAAAUGUAAAGAGUCAGCUGAGAGUGGUGGCAUGCACCUGUCAUCCCAUCUACUCGGGAGCCUGAGGUGGGAGGAUCACUUAAGCCCAGGAGUUUGAGGCUGCAGUGAGCUAUGAUCAUGCCACUAUAUUCCAGCCU